AGGUACAGUAUCUACCAUGUUAUAAUUAGGUGUACAGUAUCUACCAUGUUCAAUAUAGAUGUACAGUAUCUACCAUGUUAUAAUUAGAUGUACAGUAUCUACCAUGUUAUAAUUAGAGGUACAGUAUCUACCAUGUUGUAAUUAGAUGUACAGUAUCUACCAUGUUCUAUAUAGAGAUACAGUAUCUACCAUGUUAUAAUUAGAUGUACAGUAUCUACCAUGUUAUAAUUAGAUGUACAGUAUCUACCAUGUUCUAUAUAGAUGUACAGUAUCUACCAUGUUAUAAUUAGAUGUACAGUAUCUACCAUGUUAUAAUUAGAGGUACAGUAUCUACCAUGUUAUAAUUAGAUGUACAGUAUCUACCAUGUUCUAUAUAGAUGUACAGUAUCUACCAUGUUAUAAUUAGAUGUACAGUAUCUACCAUGUUCUAUAUAGAUGUACAGUAUCUACCAUGUUAUAAUUAGAGGUACAGUAU